rnacentral:lncRNA from 10 species
GCACUUCAUUAGAGGAGGAGCUCCCUUUGAUCUGCUGCCUGAGUGCGUGGCUGUGUCCUGGGAGGAAGGAUGAAAGAGGCCUGGCCAGGACCCCCAACCCAAAGUUCUGGGCUCAAGGGCAACCUCCAGUUCAGAAGAGGCACUUGGCUUCACUCCAGCCCACAACUGGGGACAGGGGACAACUGAGAUGAGAAGAGUGGUGCUCAGAGAGGUUAAGUCACUGGCCUAAGGUCACACAGCUGGGAGAAGAUAGCUGGAUUCCCAUAUCUGCUUCUGCAUCCAGUCUGUUGUGAUAUCACGUGUCAUGUCGCCUCUGGAAAGUGCCACUCUACACUUAGAAGUUCAAGAAUGAGAAGAAAAAGGCGGAUAAUGUCUCAGUGUUAUUAUGAAAAUAUUUUUGACCUUGUGGAUCCCCCAGGGAUUCCUUGGCCACACUUUGAGAACUGCUGCACUAUGCCAUUAAUGUUCAUUGAUGACACAUCAAUAUACACAAUGUAUCACCACUACACAUUUUAUAAAGUCUCAGGCAUAUUCAAGGCUGUAUAUCAAAUACAUUGACUCAGCCCCUGUGGAAUACAGGAAGGGAAUGGGAUAAAAGGGGGAAUGAAAUAAAUAAGAUAAAGCAAGAAAGAAUCUG